rnacentral:ncRNA from 1 species
GAAAAUUACCCACUCCCGGCACGGGGAGGUAGUGACGAAAAAUACGUAUACGGGACUCAAUUGAGGCUCCGUAAUUCGAAUGAGUACAAUUUAAAUCCUUUAACGAGGACCAAUUGGAGGGCAAGUCUGGUGCCAGCAGCCGCGGUAACUCCAGCUCCAAAAGCGUAUAUUAAAGUUGCUGCAGUUAAAAAGCUCGUAGUUGAAUCUGGGUCGUGCGGUCGCAUGCCGUUGCUUGUUCACGGUUUUGGUUACGAUCAGGACCAGUGUUCAGCUCGGUGUAGUGGCUGUGCAGCCUUUCAGCCGUGUCUGUGUUAAACGGGUGCUGGUGGGUUGACGAGUUCGUCUUGUUGACCUGUCGGCAUGCUUCCGGAUGCCUUUAAACGGGUGUCGGGAGCGGACGGCAUCUUUACUUUGAACAAAUUUGAGUGCUCAAAGCAGGCCUAUGUGCCUGAAAAUUCUUGCAUGGAAUAAUGAAAUAGGACUUCGGUUCUAUUUUGUUGGUUUUCGGAUCCGAAGUAAUGGUUAAGAGGGACAGACGGGGGCAUUUGUAUGGCGGUGUUAGAGGUGAAAUUCUGGGAUCGCCGCCAGACAAACUACAGCGAAAGCAUUUGCCAAGAAUGUUUUCAUUGAUCAGGAGCGAAAGUCAGAGUUUCGAAGACGAUCAGAUACCGUCGUAGUUCUGACCAUAAACGAUGCCAACUGACGAUCCGCGUUGGUUCUAUAAUUGACAUCGCGGGCAGUCCCCGGGAAACCUUUAAGUCUUUGGGCUCCGGGGGGAGUAUGGUUGCAAAGCUGAAACUUAAAGGAAUUGACGGAAGGGCACCACCAGGAGUGGAGCCUGCGGUUUAAUUCGACUCAACACGGGAAAACUCACCCGGCCCGGACACUGUGAGGAUUGACAGAUUGAUAGCUCUUUCUUGAUUCGGUGGGUGGUGGUGCAUGGCCGUUCUUAGUUGGUGGAGCGAUUUGUCUGGUUAAUUCCGAUAACGAACGAGACUUUAACCUGCUAAAUAGUAGACUGGUCCUCUGUGCUCGUUUAGGGCGCGGCUUCUAUUGCUUCUUUAUGGAGUAGUGUGGUCGUGAUCCGGCGGGUGCGGUGCCAGUUUUUACUUCUUAGAGGGACAAGCGGCACACUUAAGUCGCACGAAAUUGAGCAAUAACAGGUCUGUGAUGCCCUUAGAUGUCCGGGGCCACACGUGCGCUACAAUGACGGUGCCAGCGAGUCUGGAAACCUGGCCCGAAAGGGUUGGGCAAACUGUUUCAUCACCGUCGUGACUGGGAUCGGGGCUUGCAAUUAUUCCCCGUGAACGAGGAAUUCCUGGUAAGUGCAAGUCAUAAGCUUGCGCUGAUUACGUCCCUGCCCUUUGUACACACCGCCCGUCGCUACUACCGAUUGAAUGGUUUAGUGAGGUCGUUGGAUUGGCGUCGUUGUAGUGGCUUUGCCGCUCGACUGAUGCUGAGAAA